rnacentral:lncRNA from 1 species
UAUAAGUUCAAAUAUGGAAUUCCAUUAAGGGUCAAAGUGACAUGGCAUCGAGGCGACAAGCAUCCCAAUUAUCAUAUUUAAGAUCAUAUAAGUUCAAAUAUGGAAUUCCAUUAAGGGUCAAAGUGACAUGGCAUCGAGGCGACAAGCAUCCCAAUUAUCAUAUUUAAGAUCAAAUAAGUUCAAAUAUGGAAUUCCAUUAAGGGUCAAAGUGACAUGGCAUCGAGGCAACAAGCAUCCCAAUUAUCAUAUUUAAGAUGAUAUAAGUUCAAAUAUGGAAUUCCAUUAAGGGUCAAAGUAACAUGGCAUCGAGGCGACAAGCAUCCCAAUUAUCAUAUUUAAGAUCAAAUAAGUUCAAAUAUGGAAUUCCAUUAAGGGUCAAAAUAACAUGGCAUCGAGGCGACAAGCAUCCCAAUUAUCAUAUUUAAGAUCAUAUAAGUUCAAAUAUGGAAUUCCAUUAAGGGUCAAAGUGAAAUGGCAUCGAGGCAACAAGCAUCCCAAUUAUCAUAUUUAAGAUCAUAUAACUUCAAAUAUGGAAUUCCAUUAAGGAUCAAAGUGACAUGGCAUCGCUUAUUUAAUAUCAAAUAAGUUCAAAUAUGGAAUUCCAUUAAGGGUCAUUGUGACAUGCAUUUCAAGUUAUGAAUAAAUAUUCAUAUUGAAGUUGCAUUUAGGCCAUCAACAUACCAUCCUAAUUUCAUAUGAAUAAAAGAUCCAUAUUGCAAGCAUAUUUUGAGUAAAUAAUUCAUCCCCGUCAUUAAAUUUAGGGUCAUCGAGACAUAGCAUCGUAAGUUAUCUUAAUGAUUCAUAUUACAACUAUUUAUUUUUUUCAACCUUUUCAGGCAUGAAUAACAAUGAAUCAUCAAGAUUAUACAAUCUUGAAUAAUCAAGAAUAAUAUGAUAAUGUUGCAAACAAAAACCCUACCCCAAAACUUUUAGUGCCAAACACAGUUUUGGAGACAAGGUAUGUUUGCUAACCGAAAGGCAAAAAUCGAUUGACCAGAAAUCCAAACAAUAACCCAUUGAAAAUAGAAACAGAGAUGUAGCAUUGAUUAAAGAAUUCAAAUUCCAACAAGCUGCGAAGCUAAACUUGAUAGGACAGCAGAUUCAUUGAAAGUCCAGUCAAGAAGCUACAUCUCUCUGUUUCUAAUCGAAACAACCAGGGACAGCAGAAACAUGAAUUCAUAUAUCAACGCUUGUGACUCUUUGGUCAUAUUUUAGGGGCAACAAUUCCAAUCAAAUUUAUAGGGUUCCAAUAAUCAAGAUUCGUGAGAAAGUUAUUAGUUCCAUUUAAAGAAUCACAGAGUACUGUGGCAAACAAACACGAAUCUUGAUAAAGGACCGAAAAUGGAGAGAGAUGUUAAAUUUGAGAGGAGUGCAGAUUUAUUCGAAGGUCCAAUAAAGAAACUUGGAUACAAAGUUGUGAAGAUUGAAAUCGAGAAAAAGAGAGAUGAAAGUGUACCAAAGCGAGAGAUAGAGUUGAGAGGAUUGUAGUUUCAUCAAGAAACUAAUUCUUUCUUCUUCUUUUUUUCAUAACGCAACUCUCUUUAUCUCCCGCGGGUUCUCGUUCCCGUUAACAAAUAAAACCCUAAUGUG